CGGUGGUUUUUGCUCCUUAAAAGCCUGAUGAAUUAUGCAUGGCUCCCAGGGGCCUGCGCAGGUCCCAGCCUGGGGCUGCCUUUGAGUGGAGCCCCGGGAGGCUCUCAGGCCUGCCUUGGUCCCCUGAGGCCUCCUGUUCGCAGGUGCUGGGCCGUGCAGGUUGGGGCCUUGGGCCGUGUAUCAGCAUGGAGCGGUUUCCUCCUCAUCCCCAUAGGUGUCUGUGUUCUUCGGUGGUCUCUCCAUCAAGAAGGAUGAAGAAGUGUUGAAGAAGAACUGUCCCCAUGUCGUGGUGGGGACCCCGGGCCGCAUCCUGGCGCUCGUGCGGAAUAGGAGCUUCAGCCUAAAGAAUGUGAAGCACUUUGUGCUGGACGAGUGUGACAAGAUGCUGGAGCAGCUGGGCUCCCCUCCCUGAAGCGUGGCUCGAGGCGCACGGGCACGGCUGCUCCGCGCCAGCGUGUAAGUGGAUUGCAGCUCCUCCCGCGCCUGCGCUCGCUGGCCACCCCCCAGCCCCUCAGGCACCAGGACUGGCCACUCCCGCGGCUCACUCUGCCCUCGUCACGGUGCCACUGGCUCCCUGGCACAGACAUGCGGCGGGAUGUGCAGGAGAUCUUCCGCCUGACACCACACGAGAAGCAGUGCAUGAUGUUCAGCGCCACC
rnacentral:lncRNA from 1 species